AUGCCAGAACUUGUGGAAUGGGUUGUGGAACCUGAUUCCCAGUUUCUUCCGGUGCUUCAAACCAUCCAAUGCAGAGACUGUCCCGAUCUGUGUGUGAUGCCCUUCUCGAAGCUUUCUCAUGCCAAUUUGUGUAGUCUUCAUAUUGAUGACUGCCCCCAGCUAUCUCUGCACUCCAUGCCUCUGCUUUCAACACUUCAAGAUUUUUCUGUUGUGGAAUCUGGUUCAAGAAAGUUGAUUUACAGUCAGAAGGUAUUGAUUGUUUGUGGGUAUAACGGUGCUUUGGACUUCCACAAUCUGGAUAAAGCUGAGCACAUGAGCAUUGCAGAUAUAUCACACUUUUCAUUGGAAUUUGGAAGAGUUCGAAAAGCUUGA
rnacentral:rRNA from 1 species